AACGAACGCUGGCGGCAUGCCUAACACAUGCAAGUCGAACGAGACCUUCGGGUCUAGUGGCGCACGGGUGCGUAACGCGUGGGAACCUGCCCUUAGGUUCGGAAUAACUCCCCGAAAGGGGUGCUAAUACCGGCUAAUGUCUUCGGACCAAAGAUUUAUCGCCUUUGGAUGGGCCCGCGUUGGAUUAGCUAGUUGGUAGGGUAAAAGCCUACCAAGGCGACGAUCCAUAGCUGGUCUGAGAGGAUGAUCAGCCACACUGGGACUGAGACACGGCCCAGACUCCUACGGGAGGCAGCAGUGGGGAAUAUUGGACAAUGGGCGAAAGCCUGAUCCAGCAAUGCCGCGUGAGUGAUGAAGGCCUUAGGGUUGUAAAGCUCCUUUACCCGGGAUGAUAAUGACAGUACCGGGAGAAUAAGCUCCGGCUAACUCCGUG
rnacentral:rRNA from 1 species